ACACACAGUGUGAAUCUUGUGAAAACAGUUCCCGUACCUGAGCGUUGUGUGACCCUCAUAAAAACAGCUGCGUUUUUUAGAAGGAGUGUAGCAGUGUCAGCUCUUGUAUCUGAAGACCCUCGACAGCAGAAAGUGAGUGUGUACCAUUCUACAGCCAGGAGAAACCUCCUUGUAAUAAUGUCCUGAGAUUUCAGGGCAGACAAGGAGAACUAUUCCAAUAUACACCUCCCCCCUAGUAUGUGGCCAAUUUGCUAAACUGGUUUCAUUGAUAUGGGUUGUGCAUGAGUCAUGUACUACAUUGGCAAAUUCCUAUGUAAGAGAAUCAGAUCAUUUCUAUGAUACACACUACAGACAGGAACAAGUGUGAUAAUAUUAAUAAUGUCUUGCAGUAGCAUUUCUAGAAACUGGUAGUAAACAAUUUUUCCAUGAGCACAGGACUCACCUACCCACUGAAGAAAAUUUGUAUUUAAAGCAUGAAUGAUUAUGUAAUUUGGGUAAAUUUUAAAGAUGCCUUUUUGUAUUAUUCCCAAAAUACUAAUAUUAGUGUAUAGAUAUAAGCCAUCGAUGCCACUGUACUAAGAGUUUCCUGGGGAUUAUUCCUAACGGUGGCCAGAAGAAUGGAAAGAAUCUGCACCAGGCCUGUCAUAAAUACACUGCUAGAUGUCUUUGUCUACCUGCCCCCAAACUGAGGAAGAGGGAAUCAUUACAGGUGGACAAGUCACUUAUGCAGAACUACUGCAGGAACAAGAGGGAAAUAUCUACACCAGCAAAAAUGCCUGAGUCUCGUCCAUGAGAAACCUGCACCAUAGGAUGUUAUAGGGGGACUGCAUCAUCCAAGCCAACUCCAGAGCCGGUAGAGAGGGCAUAUGUAGCAGGGAGGAAACACUGCACCUUCGCACAUCAGAGCUGCUCACAAUGACUUUUGUUGCUGAUUGCGCAUGUUUGGUUCUACUUGUUAAAUCUUGUUAAACAGGAAACAGGUUUUGAGGCAAGAGGGUCCCUUGGAGUUCAAACUCCUGCUUUCAAAUGUUCUUACAAGAUGCACAAUUGGCACAGACUUACAGGAAAUAUUUAAUUGGAAUCGGAAGGCACUGGCUCCACCAACCUUGUAUUAUAUUUUCUGUGUGCUCCUGUUACAAUGAUUUUUGCCGGUAGUUUAAAUUGGUGAUUUGUUUAUAUCAAUCAGUGGAGAGUCCAACAAAAUCAAGGGGAUGAGUGGACUGUGGUGAUGCAGUGGGGGGAGGGGAGGGGGAGCACUAAGGAAUAUUCUUAUGAAGUAGAAGGGCUGCGACUAAACUGAGAGUGACAUAUUUAUGAGUCCAGUAUCAGUUGCCUACACUGAUAAGCCACGGUCAUUAAAGGAAGGAAAAGUCACCUUUGUGUAUAUAAAAUAUACAAGAUUCAUAGCCUGAAAAGACUGGACAGGAAAGCAUUAGGUAAAUAAAGGAUAUCCCAUAAAGCAUAAUGCGAAUAUUAAGUUACCUCAUAAGGGAGGAAGGUUGUCUGUGUCUGCAGUAAGAAUGAAGGAAAAAUUAAAUUCCUUUAUUUCAUCCCAACGUUAAUUGGCCUUUUGUGGUUCAGUGGGAAGGCUGGCCUUCUUGUUGUUUUUUUGAAGGAUAUAUUCAAUGUCCAUCCCAUCUGAAUGGAAUCUCCCUGUGUCCCCUAAACUGUUCACCAUAGGCCCACGGGGGAAGCUCUGAAUGAGCAUCCCAUCCAUUGUUAGAGUGGAUAGAAAAAUGGAAACACAAUGUCACAGAACUCUGACAUUUCAAAGUUGUUUCUGUUUUGCAGGAUUCACAGGGGAACAAUUAUUUAUUUUUUUGCAAUUCUUGCAAAACAUUUUGAAAUUUCAUUUUUCUCCCGCCUUCCCCUUUUUGCCGCAGAGUGCAACAAAAUGAACAACAUCCAAGGUCUGUCUGUCUGUUUCAUUUUUCCUUUUGCCACUCUGUAACUUUCCAAAGUUACAGAAGUUUUGAAAAUUUUACAAAGUGGACACAAAAAAAAAAAAAACAA